rnacentral:rRNA from 1 species
UACGGGGGGGGUAAGCGUUGUUCGGAAUUACUGGGCGUAAAGGGCUCGUAGGCGGCCAACUAAGUCAGACGUGAAAUCCCCUCAGCUUAACUGGGGAACUGCGUCUGAUACUGGAUGGCUUGGAUCCGGAAGAGGGAUGCGGAAUUCCAGGUGUAGCGGUGAAAUGCGUAGAUAUCUGGAGGAACACCGGUGGCGAAGGCGGCAUCCUGGGCCGGUAUUGACGCUGAGGAGCGAAAGCCAGGGGAGCAAAGCGGG